AUUGAACGCUGGCGGCAGGCCUAACACAUGCAAGUCGAGCGAGCGGCGGACGGGUGAGUAGUGUAUGAGAAUCUGCCCGAUAGGGGGAGAUAACUACUGGAAACGGUGGAUAAUCCCCCAUACUAACGGAUGACCACAUAUGGGAUUAUCUAGUAGGGGGGGUAAAGGCUCACCUAGUCGACGAUCUCUAGCUGGUCUGAGAGGAUGAUCAGCCACACUGGGACUGAGACACGGCCCAGACUCCUACGUGAGGCAGCAGUGGGGAAUAUUGCACAAUGGGCGCAAGCCUGAUGCAGCCAUUCCGAGUGUAUGAAGAAGGCCUUAGGGUUGUAAAGCACUUUCAGCGGGGAGGCGUUACCCGCAGAAGAAGCACCGGCUAACUCCGUGCCAGCAGCCGCGGUAAUAC
rnacentral:rRNA from 1 species